UUUUAUUCCCGUUAUGAUUCCGUAUUCAGUGUCCCAUGCUUAUUACGAAUCUGUGUGCUUUCCUCUGCUUUCCUCUGUUUUAUAUUCCUUAUGGGUGCCGUAUUUAUGUUAUGUCAUCUGCUUCUGUGCUUUACUAUGUGUUUGUAUGUUAUCUUGUGCCUUGAGCCGGGGGUCUUUCGGAAACAGCCUUUCUACUUCAUCAGAGGUAGAGGUAUGGACUGCGUACAUCUUACCCCCCCCAGACCCCACUAAGUGGGAAUACACUGGGUUUGUUGUUGUUGUUGUUGU
rnacentral:lncRNA from 1 species